UACGAAGGGGGCUAGCGUUGCUCGGAAUCACUGGGCGUAAAGCGCACGUAGGCGGAUUGCUAAGUCAGGGGUGAAAUCCUGGAGCUCAACUCCAGAACUGCCUUUGAUACUGGCGAUCUUGAGUUCGGGAGAGGUGAGUGGAACUGCGAGUGUAGAGGUGAAAUUCGUAGAUAUCGUGAGGAAGACCAGUGGCGAAGGCGGGUCUCUGGACAGUUCCUGACGCUGAGGCGCGAAGGCCAGGGGAGCAAACGGG
rnacentral:rRNA from 1 species